rnacentral:lncRNA from 1 species
CACGUGUUCAGGUUUGGCUUCAUGGUUUUUAAUUCAAUUGUUUUCCCUAUUUCUGAUCUCCAAGGUGGUUCUCGUUAUACAGAAUCGGAGGGUUCUGUUGCAACUCUUGUUUGCUAACCAGGGGCUGCUGCCAUCCACGGGAAUACCGUGCUUCCUCCAGAAGCUGCCCUUGAAAUUCAGGUCUCUCAUUUGUGGAUGGCAGCACACUUCUUCACUCGUCUGCAACAUUGCCAGGACUUGUAACAUCUAAGAACGACUUCUGGCAUGUUUCCCAGGUCCAGACUCUGGUAUUUUCCCCACCUCAGAACAAAACACUGAAGGACUUUUAGUGAUUUUUAAUGAUUGCACUCUCUUUGUAGGAAACAUAAAAAAUAUACAGAAGUGCCUAAAAAUGAGGACGAAACGUACCUGCAUUUAGGGUGACCAUCUUGUCCUGGUUUGCCCUAGAAUUUCUCGUUUUUAGCACAACAAGUCCAGUAUCCCUGGAAACCCCUCAGUGUCCUCUCAGUCAUGACAGCUGGUCACCCUAUUUGAAUUUUAAAUACUGAGAUUGAACUUGAGCUGAUAUUUUUAUUUUAUUCCUCUUUUCUCUCUUAAUUUCACUGCAUGUACAUAUACAUAUGUAAACAUAUAUGUAUAUAUGUGUUUUUGUAUAUCUACACAUACAUAUACCCAUAUAUCCAUAUGCACAUAUAUAGACAUAAUGCACACAUGAUGAUAUUCACAGCUUAAUUCACUUAACAUUGGUCAUAUACUCUUUCAAAUCAUUUGAUAUCCCUUAGUUGCUUGAAUUUUAAAGACUUCAUAUUGGUCCUCUAUAUAAAGCUCAUUAUAGUUGGGUAUUAUAUUGUUUAUGUUUUCAUUUAAAAAAUAAUUUUAAUUAUUAUUAUGAUGAAAAAGCCAGUUUAAAAACCCUGCCUAUGUCUUUAUUUAUUUCUGUAGGUUUGGAAUUGAUAUAUCACAAAGUAUAAAAUGCUGAGGCUUUGAAUAUCACCAUAGCACUUUCUAGAAAGUUUUACUCUGGACAACAUUUACUAUUUGUAGUAAGCAGAAUAACGGACACCACCACCGCUCUAAUUAGCCUCAUCUAGUCCUUGGAACCUGGGAAUAUGUCACCUUACCUGGCAAAGUGGUCUUUGCAGAUGUGAGUCAGGGUAUGGACCUGGGAGGAGAGUAUCCUGCCUUCUCCAGCUGGGCCCAAUCUACUCACAUGAGUCUUUAGAAGUGUGGGACUCUUUCCUGAUGCUUCAGUGACAGGAGAUGGAAGAAGAAGAGAUUCAAAGUGAGAGGGACUUGGUCCACAUUACUGGAUUUGAAGAUGGAGGAAGGGGGCUCUGGGCCAAGGAUUAUAGCAACUUCUAGAAGCUGGGAAUGGCCCUUACCUGACAGCCAUCAAGAAAAUGACGAUCUCAGUCCAAUGACCCAAAGGAACUGAAUUCUGCCAACAAGCCAAAUGAUCAGGAAAAUUGAUCCUCCUCUAAAGCUUCUAGGAAUUAACACAGCUCUGCCAAUGUCUUGAUUUUAGUGUGAUGAGACCCAAGGCCUACCUCCAACCUCCAGCGCUGUAAUUUUUAUGUUGUUUAAGCCACUAAUUUUGUGCUAAUUUAUUAUGACAGUGGUAGAAAACUAAUAUAUUAUUCUUUAAAAAUGUACGAUGCUUUGUUAAUA